GACGAACGCUGGCGGCGUGCCUAGUACAUGCAAGUUGAGCGCUGAAGGUUGGUACUUGUACCAACUGGAUGAGCAGCGAACGGGUGAGUAACGCGUGGGGAAUCUGCCUUUGAGCGGGGGACAACAUCUGGAAACGAAUGCUAAUACCGCAUAAAAACUUUAAACACAAGUUUUAAGUUUGAAAGAUGCAAUUGCAUCACUCAAAGAUGAUCCCGCGUUGUAUUAGCUAGUUGGUGAGGUAAAGGCUCACCAAGGCGAUGAUACAUAGCCGACCUGAAAGGGGUGUCGGCCACAAUGGGACCGGGACAACGCCCAAACUCCUACGGGAGGCAGCAGUAAGGGAUCUUCGGCCAUGGACGAAAGUCUGACCGAGCAACGCCGCGUGAGUGAAGAAGGUUUUCGGAUCGUAAAACUCUGUUGGUAGAGAAGAACGUUGGUGAGAGUGGAAAGCUCAUCAAGUGACGGUAACUACCCAGAAAGGGACGGCUAACUACGUG
rnacentral:rRNA from 1 species